AAGUUCCGACCCGCACGAAUGGCGUAACGAUCUGGGCACUGUCUCAACGAGGGAUCCGGUGAAAUUACAAUGCCGGUAAAGAUGCCGGCUACCUGCAGCAAGACGGAAAGACCCCGUGGAGCUUUACUAUAGUUAGAUAUUGAAUCUAGGAUUUAGAUGUGUAGAAUAGGUGG
rnacentral:rRNA from 1 species